ensembl:snoRNA Gm23319 small nucleolar RNA SNORA17
CAUGCCCCUAGAGAUGUUAAGGGGUGGCUGCUGUUUCACAGGUGUGUCUGUAGGUAGCAGAGAAGAGAGAGAUAUGUCUAUGCUCAAUGUUCUGACCUAUAAACAGUUGAACGAUUAGUGGCCUAACAUU